AUUUGUAUAAAAAUCCCAUCAGGAUUGUUUGGGUUGAUAAUAAUUAACCAAUAAAGAUUAGUCCAGGCCCAUAUAAGUUGUCACGUCAUCAAUUACAAUUACGUUUUUCUUCCCAUAGCCCAUUUGGUAAAAUACGGUUCAAGCUGAAAUCGAAACUCGAACCGGACUGUGAUGGUGGUUUCCGAUGGCGGCGAGCGAGUGAAGCUUAACGUUGGCGGCGAAGUCUUCGAAACCAACGCGUCUACAAUUCAGUCAUGUUGCCUAGACUCUCUUCUUGCGGCUCUAUCGACUCCAACCUCCCAUGGCUCAAAUCUGGUUUUCAUCGAUCAUGACCCGGAUACUUUCGCCGUCAUUCUCAAUCUCCUCCGUACUGGUCGACUCCGAGCUAAUUCCUCCGGCGUUUUCUCCAAGCAAGAGCUACACAAUGAGGCUAUGUAUUACGGCGUCGAAUCACUCCUCAGAUUGGCGAUGUUACCGCCGUUGCUGCUAGGUUUUGAUAUGUAUCUGUUUCGAUGGAGGUGGUGAUAGCGUACAGAGAAGUUGUGAAAUAGAUGGAGGCUUACCAAGCAAUCAGCAAGAGUUUCCAAGCCGAUAUGGCGAUAUGGAUCUGUUUCAAUGGAGGCGGUGAUUGCGUCAAUAACUUGUGUUAGGAAUUCCACCCGCGAACCAAACCUCACGGUAACAGAAAGAAGAAGUUCAACAUCUUGAUCACAGUGGAGGGCUCUUACAGUAUGAAACCUUGGUUUACAUCAGGUCUUGUAUAUUGGCGCCACAAGUGGAACACCUUCAACAGAUGAUGCAGCCAUUGUUGCUGGUAAGGUUUCUGAACUUGUAAUAUAUUGCAAUAUGGUGAUGAGAAAGAAUGUGUUUAGAGAGUGGAAAAUGAACGACUAUUUAUAGAGUUUGGAUAGUUAGUAUGUUAUAGGGUUUAGAGAAUAUUUAAAAAUCUUGAUGAGCAAGCAUUUCGUAUAAUUCGAAAUCUUUUAAGUUGGGAAAUACAGAGAAUAUGCUAGGUUGAUGCUUAAACAAAUUACGAUAAAACCUUUUGGUUAUGAAGCAAUUUCCUUUUCGAUAAAGUGAAAUGAAUAUCGAAUUAUAUGUAGGAAACAAAUGAUAAAUGUAGCAUUAAAAUAGGAAACAGUUUGCCUUACGAAAAUCAAUUUGUUAUAACUACAUAUACUCUCCAUAUCUUGAAAAAAUCAGAGAGUAAAUGUCUAUUGGAUUUAAUGUAAGGAGUAUUGAUUAAGGAAUGAUCCGAGUCAAAUAUUUCGGGUAAAAUAAUCAAAAUUGGAAGGAUCCGAGAGUCAUUAAUUCCGGGUCGAAAUCAUU